rnacentral:rRNA from 1 species
AGAGUUUGAUCCUGGCUCAGAUUGAACGCUGGCGGCGUGCUUAACACAUGCAAGUCGUACGAGAACGCUUUAGCUUGCUAGAGCUAGUAAAGUGGCGCACGGGUGAGUAACACGUGGGUAAUUUGCCUUUAGGUCUGGGACAACACUGCGAAAGCGGUGCUAAUACCGGAUAACAUCAGUGAGACCUCGGUUUUGCGGAUCAAAGGUGGCCUCUACACGUAAGCCUCCGCUUAAAGAAAAGCCCGCGUACCAUUAGCUUGUUGGUGAGGUAACGGCUCACCAAGGCGACGACGGGUAGCUGGUCUGAGAGGACGAUCAGCCACACUGGGACUGAGACACGGCCCAGACUCCUACGGGAGGCAGCAGUGGGGAAUCUUGCGCAAUGGGCGAAAGCCUGACGCAGCAACGCCGCGUGGAGGAAGAAGGCCUUAGGGUUGUAAACUCCUGUCAGGGGAGAAGAAGGCACCUGGGUUAAUAGCCCAAGGGCUGACGGUACCCCCAGAGGAAGCCACGGCUAACUACGUGCCAGCAGCCGCGGUAAUACGUAGGUGGCGAGCGUUGUCCGGAAUCAUUGGGCGUAAAGCGCGCGUAGGCGGCUUGUCAGGUCUGAUGUGAAAUCUUGGGGCUCAACUCCAAGCGUGCAUCGGAAACCGGCUGGCUAGAGUCUGGGAGAGGAGAGUGGAAUUCCUGGUGUAGCGGUGAAAUGCGUAGAUAUCAGGAGGAACACCAGUAGCGAAGGCGGCUCUCUGGAACAGUACUGACGCUGAGGCGCGAAAGCUAGGGGAGCAAACAGGAUUAGAUACCCUGGUAGUCC